UGGAUUUCUGGGAACCAGAUAGGU
rnacentral:piRNA from 1 species